rnacentral:rRNA from 1 species
AAUAUUGGACAAUGGGGGCAACCCUGAUCCAGCCAUGCCGCGUGAGUGAAGAAGGUCCUCGGAUUGUAAAGCAUGUUAUGUUGGGAGGAAGGGCUCUAGGUUAAUACCCUGAAGUUCUGUCGCUACCGACAGAAUAAGCACCGGCUAACUCUGUGCCAGCAGCCGCGGUAAUACAGCGGGUGCAAGCGUUAAACGGAAUUACUGGGCGUAAAGCGCGCGUAGGUGGUUCAGUAAGAUGGAUGUGAAAUCCCCGGGCUUAACCUGGGAACUGCUUUCAUAACUGCUGAGCUAGAGUACGGUAGAGGGUAGUGGAAUUUCCUGUGUAGCGGUGAAAUGCGUAGAUAUAGGAAGGAACACCAGUGGCGAAGGCGACUACCAGGGCUGAUACUGACACUGAGGUGCGAAAGCGUGGGGAACAAAC